CUCCUCCUCAGGGGGGCUUUCCCAUGCAAACUUGGGAGCUGAUCCUCUGUGACCAACUCCUCCUUUCCUUCAGAUUAGUUCCAGUCAGCACAGAGCAGGAGGAAGCUUCUUUUUUCGUGGGAUGAAGCAUCCAAAUUGCUAAGUAAAAGGGUUAACGCUAACAAAGGGCUAUAGAACUCUGUGAUGUCACAGGCCGAGGCAGUUAUUUUCCGUUGGUUCAGUUAUGGCAGUUAUUAACAGUCUUCACAGUCGGAGCAGCAGGUAUGUUCCGUUAUGCUGCUGUCUACCUCAGAGUUAGUCUCGGGAGUCAUUGACCUUGUAGCACUGCCUCAAUGAUCGGGAACAGUCCUGUGUGAACAAGAAGACAGGCGAGGAAGCUAAUCGUGCAUCCUGAGUGCGAAUCCAUUCGGGCCAAAUGCUGGGAGGAGAAAGGAAAGAUUCCAGGGGAUUGGACUAGAUGACCAUCUGGGUUACUUCUAACUCUACAGUCCACCUGCCAGGGAUUCUUAAGCUGUGAUUCCUGCAUUGGAAGGAUUGGACUAGAUGACGCUAGAGGAUGCAUCCAACUCUACAAUUCUAUGGUUCUAUGACAGAUGCCAUCCCAACCUG